AGUGAACGCUGGCGGUAGGCCUAACACAUGCAAGUCGAACGGCAGCACAGUAAGAGCUUGCUCUUACGGGUGGCGAGUGCCGGACGGGUGAGGAAUACAUCGGAAUCUACUUUUUCGUGGGGGAUAACGUAGGGAAACUUACGCUAAUACCGCAUACGACCUACGGGUGAAAGCAGGGGAUCUUCGGACCUUGCGCGAUUGAAUGAGCCGAUGUCGGAUUAGCUAGUUGGCGGGGUAAAGGCCCACCAAGGCGACGAUCCGUAGCUGGUCUGAGAGGAUGAUCAGCCACACUGGAACUGAGACACGGUCCAGACUCCUACGGGAGGCAGCAGUGGGGAAUAUUGGACAAUGGGCGCAAGCCUGAUCCAGCCAUACCGCGUGGGUGAAGAAGGCCUUCGGGUUGUAAAGCCCUUUUGUUGGGAAAGAAAAGCAGCGGGUUAAUACCCCGCUGUUCUGACGGUACCCAAAGAAUAAGCACCGGCUAACUUCGU
rnacentral:rRNA from 1 species